rnacentral:rRNA from 1 species
GAUGAACGCUGGCGGCGUGCCUAAUACAUGCAAGUCGAGCGAACAGACGAGGAUCUUGCUCCUCUGACGUUAGCGGCGGACGGGUGAGUAACACGUGUAUAACCUACCUAUAAGACUGGGAUAACUUCGGGAAACCGGAUCUAAUACCGGAUAAUAUAUUGAACCGCAUGGUUCAAUAGUGAAAGACGGUUUUGCUGUCACUUAUAGAUGGAUCCGCGCCGCAUUAGCUAGUUGGUAAGGUAACGGCUUACCAAGGCGACGAUGCGUAGCCGACCUGAGAGGGUGAUCGGCCACACUGGAACUGAGACACGGUCCAGACUCCUACGGGAGGCAGCAGUAGGGAAUAUUCCGCAAUGGGCGAAAGCUUGACGGAGCAACGCCGCGUGAGUGAUGAAGGUCUUCGGAUCGUAAAACUCUGUUAUUAGGGAAGAACAAAUGUGUAAGUAACUAUGCACGUCUUGACGGUACCUAAUCAGAAAGCCACGGCUAACUACGUG